UGCGUGUUGGUGCUGGUGCCCUGGCUUAGGGGCUGCGGCGCCAUUGCUUGUUGUGUGGUGGGCCCGGGUGGGUGAACCUGAGCAGCAGUUUGCACCUGCUUUGUGAGAACCAGAGCAUCCUUGGGUUCUUCCAACAUUUUACUGGGAUUUAGACAUGUGUGUCUUUUAAUUUCAGGAGGCACAAAUGACUAAAUCUACCUUUUUUUUUUUAAACCUCUGCAGAAUCCUGAGAUGUGAACCCAGCCAGUACCCGUGUGACUCCUCUGAACUGAAAACAAAUUCUGCUUUGUGUCAGUCUGUUUUAGGUAGUCCCCAGAGCUGUCUUGCUGCAAAAGUCUACGCAUCUCCUGCCGACAGAAGUGGCUUGAAAACAGGUACGUGAAGUUUGUGGCAAGCAAAUUAUACCUUAGUAAAGCCAUUUAAAAAAUGUAGUGCAAAUGUGACCGUAAGUCAUGGAGGAAAGGGUAUGCAGUCAUUUUUUCUACAACAGUAAGCAACAUCCCCUCUCUUUCCCUGUUCCACAUCCUGCCUACAUGUCCUGCCUGGUCGCCUGGCUCCUCCACGUGCACUUGAUGCUCCAGCCAGAUAGACGGUGCACACCUGGGCAGAGGGAGUGCUGGCUUAUGAAGUUAAUGUCACCUAUUGGCUCUGCUCACCUUUUCCUGUCAAUUGUAUUUUACAACUCCUCCAUUUCCUACCCUGGAAGAAAUCUCUCCACCAGUACGGCUGCCAUUUGAGGCACAUUCCCAUACAAACUGGACCUCUGACAACUCUCCAAAAUGAACACACCCUACCCAGGAUACGCACCAAAGGAGAUGAACUUGUUUUUAUCCAAAGGAAGUGUUUGUUUGUAAUCAUAAAUUUGUGAGCCUAAGCUACUGCAAAGGAAACCGGCCAGGUUAUUAGCCCAAAUGAAGGCAGUGGGUAUCUUGAGUUUAGCCCCAACACCAGCCGCACCUAGGAAAGUUACAUGAUAAAUUGUGACAAUUGUUUUUUUCCCCCCCGGAGAAUACCCAAGCGAUUCAUACUUUGUUGUGGGUUCACUGCCUUUUUUUUUUUUAACCAGCCAAUUGGAUAGUCGUGUUAUCUUACCCAUCUCUUUCUCCCUUUCUAAUUAUACAUUUGGAUAGAGUUUUGACAACUUAUCACUUUUUUAGAAGUAGAGUAAAACUGUCACUCCUGGACAGAACAAUCCAUUGUCAGGAGUGAGAACAUCCCUCUGCAAAACAGCCAUUCUCUCCAGGAGAUGAACAGGAACUGUCUGAAGAAGCUAAAAGACUUGGAAUGGUUUUAGAUGUGUUCGCCCCCAACAGAGACAGGUCUCAGGUUGCGGGCUUUUCUGGCAAACCAGCUCUGUGGGUUACUGAAGAAGCUCAACCCAAUGCCCGAGUUUUCCAUGCUCUCAUUCAUGAAGCCAACCAAGUCACCAGUGAUAUCACGAAAAAUAUUAACAUAAUCACUCAAGAAAUGCAAGAACUCCAGAGGCUGUUGUCCAUCAUCAACUGGCAUUAGCCAUCAUCCGGGCAGAUCUAGGAGAUGGAUGCGUUUGUGCAGUUGUCAAUGAUGACUGCUGUACAUAUAUCCCCCAACACCUUUCUGAUGUCUUUUUGAUGAAUUGCCACCUAGUCCUGAUCUCUGGGACCUCUGGGUUAUCAUUGGGUGGCUGAGAAUAUGACCUUUUCCCUUGAAUAUUCCCAACAGGGAUAUAGUCCUGGGGAUGCACUGCUUUUCCAAGAUAUAGUGAUAAUUUGUCUUUUUAUUCUCAUAGGAAUACUCCUCAUGAAGUCUAUCCAAUCACAUCUAGUUAAGACCAGCAGCACUCUCCCAUCAAAUGGAUGAUCCAUGCUACGACUAAGGAACAGAAGACCAAAUAACAAACUGCUCCUCAGAUCCAUUAUGGAGGCCUUCUUGGCUCAAUUCCUGAAUAUGAUAUAUCCUUAUAAUUUUGUUUUCUCUCCAAAAAAGAAUAUGCUGGCAAUGAAAGGAGUUCAUCUUGUCUAAGAGGAGGGACUGGAAAAAUUAUUUAUUUUGAGAUAGGGUCUCACUCUGUUGCCCAGGCUGGAGUGCAGUG